UACGUAGGGCGCAAGCGUUGUCCGGAAUUAUUGGGCGUAAAGAGCUCGUAGGCGGUUUGUCGCGUCUGCCGUGAAAACCCGAGGCUUAACCUCGUGGCUUGCGGUGGAUACGGGCAGGCUAGAGUUCGGCAGGGGAGACUGGAAUUCCUGGUGUAGCGGUGAAAAUGCGCAGAUAUCAGGAGGAACACCGGUGGCGAAGGCGGGUCUCUGGGCCGAUACUGACGCUGAGGAGCGAAAGCGUGGGGAGCGAACAGG
rnacentral:rRNA from 1 species